GGACAUUUGACAAAAAUUGAGUCUCCUAUUAAUUCCAAACCAAAUUCAGCCCUUAAGGGACACUAUCACCAACCAGCAGGAGAACAUAUGCAUUAUACAACUAAGGAUUUAAAAUAGGAACAAAGCUAAACUACUACAAAGAGAACAGAUUGACACUAUGCUCCAAAGCUCCAGAUUUCCAUCACACUCGAAUCAGGCUUUACAUUUAGGUGGAGUUAAAGAACAUGUACCUGAAUACAACAAUAUACACCAGAAAACUUAGUUAGAAGCUAAGAAGAAGCAGCAGCAGAGGUUCAACAAGGAGAAAUGAACAGCAGGAUCAACCCAGAAAGUCAGCAAUGGAAUAGUAGUUAAGCAACCCUCAAAUCAUCUUCCAAAACCAGAAUAAUCAACCAAUUUUAGGGUUUCAAAAUUGAAAGAAUAGGCUGCAAGAUUAAGCCAAUUUUCACCCAAAAUGCCAAAAUUUCAAGUAUUUCUUCAUUCAGCCAUUUCAAGUUUUUUUCUGGACUUUUAU
rnacentral:lncRNA from 1 species